CUAAAUUUGAGAUAGUCUUCAUUGGAUUGCCUAGCUAGUGAGUUACAUCUUUUUUUGGAAGGAAGGGAUUGCUGUGUAUAGCCUGCCAAACUCCUGAUUUUACAAGUUCACACCAAGGCUCAUCGCUGUUGUGUAAACGAACUCAGUGCAGCCAAAAGCCCCAGCUGGUUGACAGGACGGAGCCAGCGGCGACCUGAAUGCGUGGGGUCUAUUUGCACUUGCUCGUCACAUCUUGGGCAAACCAGCACUGACGUCCAAUGCGGAAGAAAAUGAUCAACUGUUGUCUAAAAGGCUGUCAGUACCUCCUCCAACCAGUGAGAAGAAACCAACUGGCUGCUGAUGCUGUGAUCUUCACUUGCCUGCACCCGUGCUGGCCUCUGGAGCAGCA